AUUGAACGCUGGCGGUAGGCUUAACACAUGCAAGUCGUGCGAGAAAGUAUCUUCGGAUAUGAGUAGAGCGGCGGACGGGUGAGUAACGCGUAGGAAUCUACCUAGUAGAAGGGGAUAGCCCGGGGAAACCCGGAUUAAUACCGUAUACCUCCUUCGGGAGAAAGAAGGCCUCUCUUUGAAGCUUUCGCUAUUAGAUGAGCCUGCGUAAGAUUAGCUUGUUGGUGAGGUAAAGGCUCACCAAGGCGACGAUCUUUAGCUGGUCUGAGAGGACGAUCAGCCACAUUGGGACUGAGACACGGCCCAGACUCCUACGGGAGGCAGCAGUGGGGAAUAUUGGACAAUGGGCGCAAGCCUGAUCCAGCCAUACCGCGUGUGUGAAGAAGGCCUUCGGGUUGUAAAGCACUUUAAGCAGGGAGAAAAAGUUAUAAGUUAAUACCUUAUAACCCUGAUGUUACCUGCAGAAUAAGCACCGGCUAAUUCCGUGCCAGCAGCCGCGGUAAUACGGAAGGUGCAAGCGUUAAUCGGAAUUACUGGGCGUAAAGCGCGCGUAGGUGGUUUGUUAAGUUGGAUGUGAAAGCCCUGGGCUCAACCUAGGAACUGCAUCCAAAACUAACUCACUAGAGCACGAUAGAGGGAGGUAGAAUUCAUAGUGUAGCGGUGGAAUGCGUAGAUAUUAUGAAGAAUACCAGUGGCGAAGGCGGCCUCCUGGAUCUGUACUGACACUGAGGUGCGAAAGCGUGGGUAGCGAACAGGAUUAGAUACCCUGGUAGUCCACGCCGUAAACGAUGACAACUAGCUGUUGGGAGACUAUGUCUUUCAGUGGCGCAGCUAACGCUUUAAGUUGUCCGCCUGGGGAGUACGGCCGCAAGGCUAAAACUCAAGUGAAUUGACGGGGACCCGCACAAGCGGUGGAGCAUGUGGUUUAAUUCGAUGCAACGCGAAAAACCUUACCUACUCUUGACAUACUUGGAGGCUCUUGUAAUGAGAGUGUGCCUUUUGGAACCAAGAUACAGGUGCUGCAUGGCUGUCGUCAGCUCGUGUCGUGAGAUGUUCCGUUAAGUCGGAUAACGUGCGCAACCCUUACCCUUAUUUGCCAGCGAUUCGGUCGGGAACUAUAAGGGGACUGCCGGUGAUAAACCGGAGGAAGGUGAGGACGACGUCAAGUCAUCAUGGCCCUUACGAGUAGGGCUACACACGUGCUACAAUGGGAGAUACAGACGGACGCUAAGCCGCGAGGUGGUGCUAAUCCUAAAAAGUCUUUCGUAGUCCGGAUUGGAGUCUGCAACUCGACUCCAUGAAGUCGGAAUCGCUAGUAAUCGCGGAUCAGCAUGCCGCGGUGAAUACGUUCUCGGGUCU
rnacentral:rRNA from 1 species